rnacentral:tRNA from 1 species
GGCGAAUAUAACUUAAUUGGUUAAAGUACCAGACUGUGACAACGCGAUCGGUUUUUUGAGCUUUGGCUUAUACC